AUGCUCACUUGAGUAACGCAUACACUAAAAUUGGAAUGAUACAAAGAAGAUGGACAUGACCACCAUGCAAGGAUGACACACGAAUUUGUGAAGUGUUCCGUAUUAAA
ensembl:snRNA U6 U6 spliceosomal RNA